rnacentral:misc_RNA from 1 species
AAACAAGUGAAAAAUGAGCUCCAAAACUUUAUAAACCUUAGCUGCUACUCAAUGUUGUCACUGUCCAGAAAAUUAUCAGCAUUCCUUUUACAAAGACACUAGAUCAAUUAUUUAAUGUUGGCCUAGAAGUUUCUCAAAGGCAUAGAAACAACAAGUAGCAACCGAAAAGGCCAUGCUAGUGAAAGCCUUUGAAGGGUAAACGGAGUAAAAAAGAAGUAAGAAAUAUGUUUAUCAGUUUGCCAAAUUAAUAAACAAAAGGGAAAAUCUAGACUAGAGGCAUAGCAAAGUUUGAUUAUUUUCCAAGAAAGACGAGAAAGCCAAAAUCAAUUUAAGUUAGCAAUUAAAAAGUCAAUAAUUGUGAGACAUAUCAUACAAGAUCAUGAUCCCAGCUAAAGAAACUUUUGAAGGCACAAUCCACCCAAGGGAAACACAUCAUAAUAUGACAGCCACAACCAUGCUAGUUUACACAAAUUUUGAUUGAUAGAGAGGGCCUAAAGGAGAUCUUCCAUUCACAACAGUCCUGAAAUACAAGAAAUGACCUAAAUAGAACAAGAUAAACUUCAACAUUUAAACUUAACAGUAAUUUUCUUGACCAAACUAGUCACAGCACUUGGGUAUAGAUAAUCUAUUGAACUUUCUUGACUAACGCACGCACUAUGCUUAUAUUGGUCCACAGGAUUGCAAAGAAACAACCAAGUUGCACAUAGCAAGCGAAUUUUCA